rnacentral:pre_miRNA from 1 species
AGUGUUCACUGCGGAUGCUUUAGUGUUUCUUUUGACGAAUUAAGGCACGCGGUGAAUGCUAC